rnacentral:rRNA from 1 species
UACAGAGGGUGCAAGCGUUAAUCGGAAUUACUGGGCGUAAAGCGUGCGUAGACGGUUGCGUAAGUCAGAUGUGAAAGCCCCGGGCUCAACCUGGGAAUUGCAUUUGAGACUGCGUAGCUAGGGUGCGGAAGAGGGAAGCGGAAUUUCCGGUGUAGCGGUGAAAUGCGUAGAUAUCGGGAGGAACACCGGUGGCGAAGGCGGUUCUCUGGGCCUGACCUGACGCUGAGGAGCGAAAGCGUGGGGAGCGAACAGG